rnacentral:SRP_RNA from 1 species
AACAAUCGGCACAGCACUCAUGCAUAGAACCUGGUCAGGACCGGAAGGUAGCAGCCAUACAAGCCUCUGUCUGCGUGUGCCGCUUUUUUGU